GCUGUCACUGGCUCGGCCAGCAUUUCUUGCUGCGUUUACCCAGAGGGCAGUUAAGAGUCAACCACGUUGCUCUAGGUCUGGAGUCCCAUGCAGACCAGACCAGAUACCAGUGAUCAGUGCCAAAGCCCCAUUGCCUGUGGAGAAGGUGAUGUUUGACUUCCUGUACAGCUGCAGUUCGUGUGGUGAAGGUGCUCCCACAAUGUGGUUGGGGAUCUGCACUGGAACCCUUCUGUUUGCGGGACAAAUAUAUAUAAGUGACAUGGAUUAAAAUCUAAUUUGCUUUGAUGGAGAUGUGUUGAAAAUGUUUGCAGUUACUGAUCUGCUGAACCAAAAUGACCCCUUUUAAACUGAUGAUUGGACUAGAAACCUUUCAGAAAACUUGAAAAUAUUCGGUAAGAGUACAUUUUGAAUUGUUGGAAGUUGUACGUUUGUGGAAGGAAGGGGAGCUGCCUGCAGCUGCAUAGUCACAG